GAAGAAGUGAGCGCGUUACCGUUGGCAGAAGAAUCAUGUAAAUAAAUAAAUAGAGCGAAAAACAACGAAAAGUGAAUCCUUUCCUUUCUAUCUCUCUCUCUCGUCACCAAUUUUCGUAUCGUAAUUCGUAACUUCUAUAUCCGUUUGAUUCUACCACGCAAGCCUCAAUUCAAUUUCAAUUCUACACUUCAUCACUGUCCCCUAACCCUAAUUCCCAACUUCAUCACGAGGUCGGGAAAUUAGGGUUUCAUUCAACAAUCCAUGUUCAAUUAAUCAAAAAAAUGGAAGAACGAAAGGGGAAAUCAUGGGAAGAGUGGUCAUGGUCACGUUCUGUAAGCGAAACAGUAAAUGGGUCACACGAAUUAACAAUAAAGGGUUAUUCUUUGGCUAAAGGAAUGGGUGCUGGAAAAUACAUCACCAGUGAUACUUUCAGCGUCGGUGGUUACGAUUGGGCUGUUUACUUCUACCCUGACGGGAAAAACCCUGAAGAUAAUUCUAUGUAUGUUUCUGUUUUCAUCGCACUUGCUAGUGAUGGUACUGAUGUUAGGGCUUUGUUCAAGUUAACUUUGCUUGAUCAAACUUCAAAGGGUAAUCAUAAAGUUCAUAGCCACUUCGAUCGUCCACUUGAAAGUGGUCCUUAUACUUUGAAGUACAGAGGAAGCAUGUGGGGUUACAAGCGUUUUUUUAGGAGGUCGUUGUUGGAAACAUCGGAGUAUUUGAAGGAUGAUUGUCUUGUUAUGCAUUGUACGGUUGGUGUUGUUAAGACGCGUUUUGAAGGAUCCAAACAGGGUGUUAUUGUGCCUGCUCCUGAUAUGGGUAGAGAUUUUAAGAGUUUGUUUGAAUCUCAAGUUGGUUGUGACAUUGUUUUUAAUGUCAAGGGUGAAAGUUUCAAGGCUCAUAAGUUGAUUCUUGCUGCUCGGUCGCCUGUGUUUAGAGCUCAGUUUUUUGGACUUGUUGGGGAUCCUUCUUGUUUGGAGGAAGUAGUGGUAGAGGAUAUUGAACCCUUUAUCUUCAAGGCAAUGCUUCUCUUCAUUUACUCGGACAAACUUCCUGGCAUAUAUGAUGUUAUGGGCUCAACACCUAUGUGCUCUUAUACUGUCAUGGUGCAGCAUCUAUUGGCUGCUGCUGAUCUCUAUAAUCUUGACAGGCUAAAAACAUUAUGUGAAUCAAGAUUGUGUGAAGAAAUCAAUACUGAGAGUGUAGCCACAACUCUUGCUCUGGCUGAGCAACACCACUGUCCACAGCUCAAGGCAAUCUGUUUAAAAUUUAUUGCAAAUCCAACAAACUUGGGAGGUGCGUAUUGUUGAAGGUUAUUGUUUGUAUGUUGUUUCUGAUGAUAAUGCAGGGGUUUUAUUUGGUAGUAUAACACAGCCUUCUGAUAGAUCUAGAAUUUACGGGUAAGUGAGGGAUAGUAUAUACUGAAUAUAACUUAUAUUAUAGUCAACAACAUUCUGAGAAUAACAUUCUGCAGAGUUGGUUAUCAAGUUAGGGAGGGAGGAAAGGAGGUAAGGAACCAUAUAAGUACGCUUAAGUAGAUAUUUUGUGAAAAGAACAUUUUUUUUUUUUGAACAAGCUGAAAAGAACAUGGUUAUCUGUGUGCUUAUGCGUAAAUUGCGACAUUCAUGUAUUAAUAUUUUGCAUGAACUGUUUUAGCCCUUUUUUAUGUACACGAAGUUGCAAAUUAUCGUUCAUCAUCGAUGUCUUCAGCUUGCUUGAGUGAGAAAUGCGUUAUUUUGCUUGGGCAUAUUGCCGCAAGUUUGGAAAAUAACGUGUAAGCUUGUCUAUUGAAAUAACAUUCAUCUAGACACAUGUGCACUUAUGUACUGUUUACAAUGUUGCUAAUGGGUGUUGUUCUGAGCUAUGUUAUUUAACUACAUUACAUAUGUGAAUUAUUUUUCAUAAAUCCGUUGCUCGUUCAAUUAACAAAGUUAUUUCCUAACUUAUUCAACGAGGGGGAUGAUUCUAGUUUUAGUUAGGGGUCGACACAAAUGUCAACGUCUGAAUGAACACUGAGAUGCCCGGAAAAUAAAAGUCGUUUGAGAUAAAUGGGUAGGUGGAUGGUAGAAUCAAUUUGGAACGAAUAUUGACUGUUGGGUCCGGAUCGCUAAAACCUGUUCCGUCGGUGACCAAACCUGGGCGAUAUACAGGAUAUAACAUACUUAAAAGUCACUAAGAUGUGAUGACUCACCGGCUACAUCACACUGAUCGCAGUUGCAUCAACUUGCGUUAUUGGUAACCAGCGAGCUACUUUGCUGAUAAUGUUUUAUGAAGGAAAAGACUGGCCAGCUGUUUUAUAUUUUGAGGCUUGAGCUAUUAAAUCUCCGCUGAAUAUCAGCAAAAGUUGGUUUGUAGUUCUAAUUUCAAAUUAGGACCUUUCUGUAAAAGAAAAAAAACUACUAGUACCGUGGAUGAAAAAUAAUAAAUAAAAUAGAGGGUGAGAGAGAAGUAGGGAGAAGGGAGAGGAUGAACAAUUCUUCAUCAGUUGUACGACUGUUUAGUGUAAGUCGUGGCUCUGGUCAGACUGAGCCUCAUUCAGUGUCUCUGACCGCAAGCAUUGGCAACUCUGCAUCUCCCACAAGUCCCACCGCAAGCACUGGCAGCAUGCAUUUCCCAUGGUGCUGGUCUUCUUGCUCUCUUUUUUUACUCAUUUCUCGUUUUCAUUUGUAUUGUUUUGCCCUAUUUUUUGGGUUAUGGUACUGUUGGAUUUCGGCAGCUCCUUGAUAAUGGAACUGUGGAGGUAGUAAACAAGAAUAUUUCAACAGUGAAAGAGGAUAAAUCAAUGAAUCCAACCAAAUCGAUGACUCAAACUGACAAAGAUGGGUCUAGAUGCAGUGAAUCCAACCGAAGCUGACUGACGUUCAUUAACUGUAGUAAUAUCCUAAGUAUAUUAAACACUAAUUCUUCUGUAAAAAAAAAAAACCAGUUCUUUUAACCAUUGGCGUUACCCUCUAAUGAUCAUUGCUUUUGUCAAUUUACACUUCAUCUAAACAGUUAUGCUUGUACCUCUUUCUUAGGGUGUGUUUAAUGGGUAUUUUUGUGUGUACCAUCUCACUUGAUCAAUUGAUGUUAUUUUAUUUCUUAAUUCAAAUUCACUUGAUCAAUUGAUGUACUAUAUUUUUUUCUUGCUUUGAGAAAGUAAUUUUUAUAUGGCAUUACCCCUCUAAUAAUCCUGGCCUUUGUCAAGUUACACUUUCAUCUAAAUAGUUAUGCUUGUACUGUGUGUGACACACACCAUUUCACUAAUCAAUUGAUGUUAUUUUUUGGUAAUUUUAAUUGACUUGACCACUUCAUCACUGCUGUUCGCAUUACCUUUUCACCACAUCCCAUGACUAAAUUGUGUAAUUACUUGUUAUUUUGUCCUUUUUAUUAUCUAUGAUUAUUUAUAUCAUAAAAAUACAAGGAAAUGGUGAUUUGCGUCAGUAGUCCAGAUUUCAUAAUUUGGUGUAUUGAUUGGUUUUGAAGUUGGUUUGUGAAGUGAAAUUUCAUGAAAUUGUCCCAGCGAUUUAGUUGCCGUAUGUAUGAAAAUUAUUUUCCAAUUCUCUCGAGCAAUUUUAGAAGGUAAUUUCUAUGCAUGAAAUAUCAAGUUUAUGUACAAUGUUAGUGCAUUUGAAAAUUGUUUGAAUUUGGUAUUGAUUUCAAGUUCUUGAAAUUAUUUUUCAAUAGUUAGUUUUGAGGCUUUUUCGAUUCUCUUCUUGCAUCUAUUUUGUCAACGAGUCACUUCCUAGAUUUUUGAAGGUUUCUUCUUGUAAUAAAUGUUUGCUUGCUGUUCAGAAACAAUAGUUUUUGAGGUUUUUAUGACUUGUUAUUUAAAUUUAAAUUUCGCUCACUGCAUACUCAUAAGGAGUUUAUCCCCUUGCUCUUAGUGCUUUUUCGAAUCAUUGAAAUUUCAACUUCUGAAUACUCUUUGAUGGAUAUUAUGCUUUGUGCAGCUGUAAUGCAAUCCGAAGCUUUUUUUCAUUUGAAAGAGAGCUGCCCCACAAUGUUAUUGGAAUUGCUGGAGACAUUUGCGUCAGUGGAUGAUAACUCAGGUCAGACCCUGAGCAGGAAGAGAAGUGGCAGUAGCAUAUAUGGGCAAGAUUUAGCAGAUGGAGGGGCAGCAGAAUCAAUUAAUCCAAGUAGUAGGCGUGUUAGGAGGCGAUCAUAAGAGUGGUUUACAUUGUGGAUCUUCAACCCUGAAAGAUAAACCUCUAGUUGUGGAGCUGUCAACACGAAUUAUCUACGGUUUUCUUUUCACCUGAUUCCACUGCUUUUAUUUGUGAAGUUUUUGCCCUUCCUACCUUGUCUCAAAGGGCUACUCUGGACAGCAUUUUCAACUGUAGUCUGACAUUAGAACAGUUCUAAAUUUCUAAUGUAGGGUAUAUCAUGUUUGAUGAGUAUAAUAAAAAGUAAAUAGUUGAUAUAUUUGUUUGUACAAUGAUGUCUUAGAAGGAAACACUUUUCCUUAUAAGCUAUAUUAUAUAGAGUAAUGGUAGAUUCAAUCUGUAGAUGACUCCUCUAUAUAGUUACUGGGUUGUGCUGUGUGUAUGUCUAGGGUAUGAUUCAAUCUGUAGAUGGAUCUUAAUAUUUGACAUUUUUCAGGUCUGAUUUGUCUUGCUUUGA